rnacentral:rRNA from 1 species
CCCUUAGAUGUUCUGGGCCGCACGCGUGCUACACUGAGUGGAUCAGCGGGUCAGGUUGCGCGAAAGUGUUUCCUAAUCUUUAAAUCCGCUCGUGAUGGGGAUUGACGGUUGCAAUUUUCCGUCAUGAACGAGGAAUACCUUGUAAGCGCGGGUCAUCAUCCCGCGCCGAAUACGUCCCUGCCCUUUGUACACACCGCCCGUCGCUCCUACCGAUUGAGUGGUCCGGUGAGGCUUUGGGAUCUGAGCGGAAAGAGCGUUUCGCUGUUUCUGCCCGGAAAACUCAGUCGAACCUUAUCAUUUAGAGGAAGGAGAAGUCGUAACA